UGGGGAAUUUUGCACAAUGGGGGAAACCCUGAUGCAGCGACGCCGCGUGAUUUAGAAGGCCUUCGGGUUGUAAAAAUCUUUUCUAUGGGAAGAAAAUGACAGUACCAUAGGAAUAAGGACCGGCUAAUUACGUGCCAGCAGCCGCGGUAAUACGUAAGGUCCGAGCGUUGUCCGGAAUCAUUGGGCGUAAAGGGUACGUAGGCGGGUAAGCAAGUUAGAAGUGAAAUCCUAUAGCUCAACUAUAGUAAGCUUUUAAAACUGCUCAUCUGGGGGUAUGGAAGGGAAGGGGGAUUUCCUAGUGUGGCGGGGAAAGGCGCAGGUAUAAGGGGGAAGACCGGUGGCGAGGGCAAGUAUCUGGCCAGACCCUGACGCUGGGGUACGAAAGCGUGGGUAGCAAACAGA
rnacentral:rRNA from 1 species